AAGUCGUAACAAGGUUUCCGUAGGUGAACCUGCGGAAGGAUCAUUAUUGAAUAUUCUUGAUGGGUUGUUGCUGACUCUCCGGAGUAUGUGCACACUUGUCUUGACUUUAUUCGUCCACCUGUGCACCUUUUGUAGUCUUGGGGGUUGAGAGCAGUCAAUUAUCGGAUGGCUAUGGCCUUUCCGGACGUGAGGAUUGCUGAGUGUGAAAGCAUACAGCUCUUCUCAAAUGACUUGCAACCUCUCCCUCGAGUACUAUGUAUUCAUAUACCACUAGUAUGUUGUAGAAUGUGAUCAAUGGGCUUAUAUGCCUAUAAUAAUGAAAUACAACUUUCAGCAACGGAUCUCUUGGCUCUC
rnacentral:misc_RNA from 1 species